rnacentral:lncRNA from 1 species
CUCUGUUCACGGAAAGGGCCUGGGAGCUGCAACACCUCAACAGCAACAAGCACACCUGCUACCUAGAACUUGGUUUCUAAAAACCAUCCUCCUCUAAAAGGAAACAGAGCUCUUUGAAGAAACGAGACAGAUCUCAUUAUGUUGCCCAGGGUGAUCCUUGAUCUCCUGGCCUCAAGUGAUCCUCCAACCUUGGUCUCCCAAAGUGCUGGGAUUACAGAUGUGAACUACCACACCCAGUCAACGUGCAGAAGGUUUUCAGUUUGAUGUAGUCUGAUGUAGUCUCAUGUAUUUAUCCUUCUUGUUGUUGCCUGAGCUUUUGGUGUGAUAUCCAAAAAUAUCAUUGCCAAGAUCAAUAUCAAGAAACUUUCCCCCUAUGUUUCUUACAGAAAUUUUAUGGUUUCAGAUUUUUCAUCCAUUUUGAGUAUAUUUGUGUGUAUGAUGUAAGAUAAGGGUCCAGUCUCCCCAGUGUUGGAUAUCCAAUUUUCAUAACACCAUUUAUUGAAGAGAUUAUUCUUUCUCCACUGUGUUUUCUUGAUGUCCUUGUCAAAAAUUAGUUGACUUUUAUAUGCUUGGGUUUAUUUCUGGGCUCUAUUCUGUU